UUUUUAUUUUUUUAUGCUUAUUUUUUAAAUUAAACUUUCUUCACUAAAAAAAAGGGGGGGUGCAGGGGGCAGCCCGGGUGGCUCAGCAGUUUAUUUUAUUGUUUUUUUAAAUAUUUUAUUUAUUUUUUGGCACAGAGAGAGGGGCAGAGACACAGACAGAGGGAGAAGCAGGCUCUAUGCAGGGAGCCCGACGUGGGACUCGAUCCUGGGUCUCCAGGAUCACACCCCAGGCUGCAGGUGGCGCCAAACUGCUGCGCCACCAGGGCUGCCCUAGCUCAGCAGUUUAGCGCCGCCUUCAGCCCAGGGCCUGAUCCUGGAGACCCCGGGGUCAAGUCCCAUGUCAGGCUCCCUGCAUGGAGCCUGCUUCUCCCUCUGCCCUCUCUCUCUGUGUCUCUCAUGAAUAAUUAAAAAAAAAAAAAAGUAAAUACAUAAACUGGAUGUAAUAAAUAAAUGGCUAGCUGGCACCUCAGUGAACACUUUAAAUAACAAUAAACAUUAAAAACAGUGUAAGGGCACCUGAGUGGCUCAGUCAUUAAGCAUCUGCCUUCAGCUCAGGUGAUGAUCUCAGGGUCCUGGGAGUUCCACGCUGGGCUCCUUGCUUCUCCUUCUUCCUUUGCCCCUCCCCUCAUUCAUGUGCACUCUCACUUUGCCCUCUAAAAAAUAAAUAAAACAGUCUAAACAGGUAACUCUCUAACCAUCUGACUUUUAUUCAGGACAGAAUCUAGUUCAUCUACAUCUGAAACCAGUAAAUCCUCUGCAGAGUACAGGUGAGGAAAGCAGGAGAAAUGAGGACAAAAAGAACCACCAUGAAUCUAACUUAUCUGUUUUCCAGCAUUUAUGUAUUUAAUCUUAUAUCGAGAUUUCAGGAACACCUGGAUGGCUCAGUGGUUGAGCAUCUGCCUUGGCCUCAGGGUGUGAUCCCGGGGUCUGGGGAUCGAGUCCCAUAUUGGGCUCCCUGCGAGGAACCUGCUUCUCCCUCUGCCUAUGUCUCUGUCUCUCUCUCUCAUGAAUAAAUAAAUUAAAUUUAAAAAACACAAUUAUAUCGAGAUUUCAGUCAUGACAAUGGUAAGCAACAAAAGCAGCCCUUUUGACGCAGCAAACAGAUGGUAAAAAAUGAUAUGAACAGUUUCUGACUCCUCGUGGAGGUGAUGAGGGGCACGGUACAAUACAGGCAAGGGAGACUCAGUCAUUUCCAGUGGCACUGAGGCCAGGUGCAAUUGAGACCUCCUAGGAGCUGUGGCUUCUCCCUGGCAUUUACAGGUGGUAAGUAAUGUCCUCUAUGGUAAGUAAUGUCCUCUUCAAUUGGCCAGCAGGGGGCAGCCUGGAAAUAGGUACAGAAAACAAAACAUAUCUUGAAGAUUCCAGGAAGCCUAUUUUCCCACGCAGGUCGGAUCCAUCUGGCAUCAAUUUUUGUGGGAUUACGCACAUCAUCUUGGAGGAUACACAGCCACUCUUCUGAAAGUCAUGCACUCACUGAGGGCAAACAUUUCUGAGAAUCUGCUGUGCUUAAUUGCUACUAUCAUUGUAAUUGAGUUGCUUGAACAAAAUCAAGAAUCAGAAGUUUCCUCAACUUUUUGACAACAGCCAACAAAUAACCAUGGAGAAAUAGAAACUAUACGAUAGCAGUAACAGUCUUUCAACAGAGUAUAUACUAAAACCAGCCUUUGCAGAGUCACUGGCUGGCACACAGCGACUGGAGCAAGUAACUCUGUCUCAGGGUUGUGACAUUAAGCCUCUCGUUGGGUACAGAAAUUACUUAAAAAAUAAGAUCUUAAAAAACAACAAGCCAGCCUUUGUUUAUAGGUCCCAGCUAUGCUAGAAGUAUUUCUUUCUUUUGCUUCCUAUUGUCCAGAUCAUGUGGUAAGGGUGUUUUGGAAUGUCUGUAAGGGAACUUUCUUUAUAUCCUUCUGAGUUUUUAUUGUGGAGACUGAGAUAAGGAAUAAUGAUCAGGAAAGACUCUGGCACGUAGCCGGGCUCAAAUAACUGUUACUUGGUUAUUAUUAACUAUUACGUUUUUUUUUUGUUGUUGUUGUUGUUUUUAAACUUUUAUUUAUUUAUGAUAGUCACACACACAGAGAGAGAGAGGCAGAGACACAGGCAGAGGGAGAAGCAGGCUCCAUGCACCGGGAUCCCGACGUGGGACUCGAUCCUGGAUCCCCAGGAUCGCGCCCUGGGCCAAAGGCAGGCGCCAAACCGCUGCGCCACCCAGGGAUCCCCUAUUACGUUUUUAUGCAGGACACUUAAUCAAGUCUAAAGGCCACAAUAGAAACUUGGGGAGUGCUGGUCCAACUCAUGAGCUUCCAGGCUUUGGCGCUCACCCCUCAUCAGGGAGCAAUGGUCGGACCAAAGAUAGAGCCACAUACACACUGGACCAAUUAUAUGUCUUCUCCACCAGAAAACCAGCUAUUCUUUUGUGCCAUUUGACCGAACUGAGGUUAUGUAAACUUCUGAACUGACAGGCUCCUGUGUCUGGUCCCAUACAGCUUGAGAAGCAGAGAAAGUCGGAUCUCCUGAGAGAAAGGGAAAUGAGCAUGCCAGAUGAGACUCCACAUGAGCCUAGAAAUCCAAAGCAGAAGCAUCGUUUCUGAAGGCUUUCCAAUUCCUAGUACCAAUCCUCAAGGCUUCCAUCUUUUCCUGGGUUCUAUAAUCUAACAAUAUUUUUUUUUCUCUCCACAUAUGGUGACUUCUGCUUUUUCUCUUAGCAACCAAUGGAAUCAAAGUAAUCUCUACACCCAAUGUGGGGCUUGAAUUAUAACCUCGAGAUUAAGAGUUACGUGCUUUACCAGUUGAGCUAGCCAGAUGCCCGUCUUUCAGCUUGUGUUUUAUAAGUGAAGUCCAAUGGGACACUAUACAGCCAAUAAGCAGAAUGGAAAUAUGAUUCUCCUUAUCAUCCUCUUCACAUAGAGAAUCUGCGAUGCCUCAUGAGUGCAGAAUUACAGUAGCCUCACCAAACAUGGGAGAUCAGUGAGUUUUGAAGCAAGUACAAGCUAGGCAUGUUGCAUCUAGGACUGAGUCAGCAUGGGUGCAGCCAGCCUCAAGAAGACACGUUAUCCCAUCCCAACCAGAACUUUCUUCACCAACAGAAAGAAGGAACCAGUGUCCUAGGAAGCACAAAUGACCAAUAUCAAACUCUAUUAUGUUCAUUUUUCCUCAAGUCACUUUCCUGCAUUGGCCCACCACCAAAAGUGACGAAAGAGAAGGAAAGCACAGGACAGAAUCACUCAGCCCCUUUUUCUUUAAGCUCUUCCACAUUCAUCAGGUAGAGAGUGUUGGUGGAAUGUGUGCAGAUCAAGGCAUGAAAUAAAGAGAAUUUGAUUACUUUGCAGAACAUCCUCACUGUUGUGGUAAACACAAAAUGUAUAUGAAGGUAGGAGUUACAGAUUAUGAACUGUGCGAUUCCACAUCCUAGUUAAAUAGUCUGAUACUUGUCUCUAAAGUAGGCAUAAUGCAACGUCAGCAAAAUGGUAAAAUUCAUGUCAAUAAUUUAGUUUUAGUUUCUCUUUCUUUAGAAAGACAUGAAAUAGCAAAUAACAACUUCCAUAACAUGUUGAAAGAAAUGGAAGUAAAAAAAAGACUUAUUUUUUAUUUAUUGUUCAAGAUUUCAUUCCUUUAUUCAUGAGAGACAGAGAGAGAGGCAGAGACACAGACAGAGGGAGAGGCUCCCUGUAGGAAGCCCGAUGUGGGACUCGAUCCUGGAACCAGGGAACCACGACCUGAAGCAAAGGCAAGACAUUCAACCACUGAGCUACCCAGGGGCCCAAGAAAAGACUUUCAAUGGCACCUUUCUCCCUCCUUUUGGAGCAAGGGUUCUUGCAUUUCCCUUUUGCAUUGGACCCUGAAAACUGUAUCAGCUCUGUUCCUGGGACCUUGUGUCACACAUAAAGAUAGAACUUCUGGUCAAGUUACAGGCUCUGCAUCCAUCUCUGCUGGUCUGGUUUGGUUCCUGGCCUGGAGUUUACAGAGAGGUCAUUUGGCAUUGUGGCACAUCAAUUUUAUUCCUAAUGCUAGAGUCCACAAUCCUGGCUUUCUGUGUUGAUUUUCAAAUUCCACGACUCCAGGUUCUGCAUCCCAAUCUUAGGCUGGUCCUGAUUCUCCCACCCCUUCUAAGACUGCUCAUCAGGCUGAGCAGAAUCCUCGAGAUCACCACGCUAAGCUUAUUUUAGCUCAGACUCUGCAUCCGGGCACCUCUCUCCCCCAAAUCUUCAUUAUGGCUCUGGCGCCACACUGGCCAAAUUGAGAACUUCUCCAAGAACAAUGGUUUUCAAGCCUGGCUACACUGGAUUUACCUGUGAAUUGUUUGCUUGUUUCUCCUUUCCAAAUAAUAUUGAUGUCUGGCUUCCAUCCUAGACUAAUCAAAAGCAGCGGGAUUAAGAACCAAGACACUAGGGUAUUACAGCCUCUUACAGCUGUCUUUGGAAAAAUGAACACAGCCUUUAUUUCUCUGCAUGUGUCUAUAAAUGGCCCCUCUACCCCCAAACAUACACGAGAAGCGGAGGAAUUAACACGCUGAUUUUCUAUGUCAAUGCCCCUCCUUCCAUCUCCCACUCAACUGUGCUAGUGGGCAGGAUGGGCUUUCUCCUUCUGUGCAGGCAGGGACUUACCCUAAGUUAUAGCCCAAAUUCUCUCCUUAUAAAGAGUCUACUGAAAUUAGUAGUCCUCAGGGCAUCACAGCACCCGAUAUGGAGGCCUCAGGCCUAGAGACUGCAUGAAAGUUUUAGGCACAAAUGAUGUCACUUAGUUUGAAUAUGCAGAGGGAGAAGGGAGGAGACCCCAAGUCUAAGUCAUGAGAAUCCCAAUUUCAUGGUUUGGUGGAGGAUGAGUCUCUAUAGAUCCUGGGAAGGUACAGCUGGACAGCUUCAUUUCUCACUUCAUUUAUCAAUGUCUUUACGAAAAUGCCUGCUAUAAACACCUGUGAGUGUACAUCUACUUUGACUCUGGCACUAGAGAGGCACCAGGGCAUAGUAGUCAAGAAGUGAAUCCUGUCUCUGGUAAUGGUCAAGGAUCUCAAAAAAGUUAGUCUCCUGUGCCUCAGUUAGCCAUCCUUAAAACGUGAGUGCCACUGUAGGUAUUCACAGGGUUCUUAGGAAUAGCAAACACAUUGGUAUUUGUAAGGUGAUUAGAAGAGGCAAAUUGCAAACACAACUCAAGAGUAUGUUAAAUAAAGAAAAACAAAGUGGGCAUGAUGUUUUUCCUCCAACAACGUAAAAUAUAAAGCAAAUAAAAAUACAUUCAGAGGAUUUUUGUGUUGCUCAAGGUAUCACUAUGAUUUGCCAUUCUAGCAGAGUUUAAAAAAAAAAAAAGAAGUAUGAGCCAAAUAUCAGGAAAAUGUGUAAAUAAUGGAAACAACCUUUGAUUCAAUAAUCACAUGUCAACACCUAAUGAAAAUACAGCCUAGGUGGAUGUUAACUCAAGUACUAUACAAGUAAAAGUGGGAUCACUGAAUUGAUGUGCUUUGACUACAUUGUUAUGAGAAGUAUUUCUCUUCUAAAAAUGAAGCAAAAAUGGGACACCUGAGUGGCUCAGCAGUUGAGCUUCUGCCUUUGGCUCAGCUGGUUCGAGUCCCACAUUGGGCUCCCUGCAUGGAGCCUGCUUUUCCUUCUGCUUCUGUCUCUGCCUCUCUCUCUGUGUCUCUCAUGAAUAAAUAACUAAAAUCUUUGAAAUUAAUUAAUUAAAAUAAAAUAAAAAUUAAGCAAAAAUGUUAUUUUAUUUUCCUUUAUAACACAAGGAAAAUGAGCUUUAGUAUUCGUCUCUGUUCACAGAAUGGUGAAAUUAAAUUUAAUUACAUUUUUAAAAAAGAUUUCAUUUAUUUAUUUGACUGAGAGAGCACAAGUAGAGAGAGCAGCAGAGGGGGAGGGAGAGGGAGAAUCAGACUCCCAGUUGGGCAGGGAGCCCGAUGUGGAGCUUGAUCCAGUGACCCCAGGAUCAUGACCUGAGCCCAAGGCAGACACUCAACCGACUGAGCCACCAAGACAUCCCUCAUUUUUUUUCUUUUAAAGAUUCAUUAUUUUAGCGAGAGAAAGAGUACGUGCACAUGAGCAGGGCGAGGAGCAGAGGGAGAUUAGCAGAGACUCCCCACUGAGCCCGGAGCCCAAUAAACAACCAAGAAUCGGAGGUACAAACAUAAGAAAACAUUUAAGUGUAAAUAAGUUUAGGGGUGCCAAGGUGGCUCAGCUGGUUAAGCCUCCAACUCUUGAUUUUGGCUCAGGUCAUAAUCUCAGGGCCAUGGAAUUGAGCCUUGUGUGGGGCUUUGUGCUCAGCGAGAAGCAUGCUCAGCGAGGAGUCUGCUUGAGAUUUUCCCUCUCCUUUCCCUCUCCUCACCAGCCCCAUCUCUAAAAUAAGUAAACAGAUCUUAAAAAAAAAAAAAAAAAA
rnacentral:lncRNA from 1 species